rnacentral:lncRNA from 1 species
GCAGUUUGAGAAGAUGGCGGCCUGAACCGGAGUCCUUCUUCCCCUCCUCCCUCUCCGCUGCUGCAAUGCCCAGGCCCCCCGCAACGUUCCUCGUCUGUAAUGGUGCCAGAGGCUUUAAAUCUUGCAGAAGCCACAUCUGCUGCCUGCAGUCUCCGGUAUGUCAUUAUCAGCAGUGUGAAAAUGGACUCACUCCCACCCUGUCUGGAUCUGGACAAGAGCCCACCACCCCGUUGGCAGUAGUCAGGCAGCUCUGCUUCUAAGAACCUGCAGCUUUUGGAAGAAAGGCACCCUGUGGUUUCAGAAGCCCAAGAGUCCCUGCAGCUCAGCACCCCCAGCCUGGUGCUUGGCAGAUGACUGCCUCCUCACUUAGCAGAGGGAGCAGAAAACUGUGUAUUCUUCAGAACAUCAUGAUAACCUGGCACUCAUGGGUCUAUGGAGAGAAUUCAGGGGGUCUGGGAGCUUGGAUGGAAUAAAUUUGCAUCUUUAUUUUCAGGAAAGUUUUACUGAAGUUUAGCAUUUUCUUUCAUUAUAAAUGGAAUCAGUAUAACCCAAUAGUAUGAGCAGUUACUUCUCCGCAACAUCAAAGUGGCUGCAGAUAUCUCAAAAUAGUAUUUACAUUUAUCAUAACUUAGAAAUUUGGGUGGUAAUUAAACCAGCAACUAUUCUUUGUUUAAUGCAUUAAGAAAGAAGUAUGUAUACUAUCAUAUCUCAAUUAAAAAUAUUUUAAGAACUGGAUUUUAA